rnacentral:lncRNA from 1 species
AAAAAAAAAAAAAAAAAAAAAAAAAAAGACAAAACGGAAAUCAGAGACAGAGGUGAACAUGAAUAUAAACUUUCAUCAGUAAGCAUAAUGUAUAUGUCAGGACUGAGUCAUAAGCACCAGAAACCCAACUUGUACUAUAUAAAGGAAAAGAAGAGAAUUUAUUAGCUCACAGAUUCCAAAGAGGGGGUCAAUAACUGAACCCCAAGAAGGAAGAUACACAAAAGGCUUUGAGGACCACUGGAAUGCCUUCAGGAUUUAUUAUCUUUGUUAAUUUCCUUCGCUUUUCUCUGUGAAAGAGAAACCCAAAUUUACAAAGAAAGUGGAAGAAGUGGGAUUCUCAAGCAGAGCUUUUAAUCACUGCUACACAGAAUGUUACUAACAGUGAAAAUGAGGCAGCCUAAAGGCAGAACAAUACUGGAUGAACAACAACCAGAAAAACCCCAUCAUCGUCAUAAGAGCUGCAAAUCAAAGCAAGGGUAAGAGAGAAGGAGAAUGGACACUGGAGGCCUUUGCUUGGGGCCAGCCCUCACUACAAAGCAGGGUAGCUGUGAAGGUCAGCAACUCUGGAGGGAACAAAGGAGGUAUAUGGGAAAAAUUUAAGAAAAUUAUCUAAGAAACUGGGGGAUGUAAAGAGACAUAAAGUCAGGUGAGGACCUCAAGAUGAGAUCAUCCUGGAUUAUAGUGGGCCUGAAAUCCAAUAAAAAGUGUCUUUAUAAGGGAUAGAAAAGGAAAAGACACAGAAGACCAUGUGAAGAUGGAGGCAGAAACUGGAGUGAUGUGUCUACAAAUCAAGCAACGCCAAGAAUUGCAACAACCACCUGAAGCUAGGAGUGAGGCAUGGGAUGGAUUCUCUCUCAGAACCUCCAGAAGGAACUAACCCUCCUGACAUCUUGAUUUCAGACGUAUGGUCUCCAGAAAAAUGAGAAUAAAUUCAUGUUGUUCUAAGCCACCAAGUUUGCGGUAAUUUGUUACAUAGCCC